AGCUAUGGAUACGUUCAAUAAACUAUAUACAUACAUAUUUCAUUUUGUAACUAGAGCAGUUUGUUCUAGCAAAAUUCCACGUUAAUGUAUUAAAGGAAGUUUAUAUUAUAAGGUAUACAUAAGUUUUUGUCGACGUUCAACCACACUACAAUGAAGGACUCUAAUGAAGCAAGAACUUCUAAACUGAAGGAAAAGAAACAUCUAGUAAAUGCCCCCAAAGAACUCUCCAUAAAGAAAGCUGUACCAACUAUUGAAGGAGACCCGAAGGAGCAACAUUUCUCACCACAAACCUUCAGUAUGUAUUGAUUGAAUAUUUUUUUUACAACCGACUCUGGCUGUGUAAAAGUUCAAAAUUGAUGUGGAAAAUAUUACAUUUAAUUCUUAAUACACCACAACAAAAUUACGAGUGAUCUUCCCACAACGAUUUUUUUUUUAUUGAACCGCUUUUUAAAAAACGGAAGGUCUGUUGGUUGAGAAAAGAAAAUUGUAGUUCCUUUGAACAAUUUCAAAGAGGUGGAAAGCUAGAAAGAAAGAAAUUUUGGAGAAGACUCAAAGAACUAUGGUGUUUACUUCAAGAAUUUUGAAUCGUCGACAGAAACCACAAAAUUCCACGUAUCAAGAUUCGCCGACUCUAAAACAUCAAUCUAGAAUUUCGAGGUUCAUGCUGAUAUUGUACGAAGACACUUUUUUCCAGGACAUUACGCUAGUUAUUAAGCCAGUAUUUACGGCUCUUUUUCCUAUGUUGUUGUUGAAACACAUUUAGAAUAUAUAUUUUGAGAAAUUGCAUGAGGAAAAGUGUAGCUUGUAAACACUUGGUAAGUUUUUGAUGUUCAUGUUCUGUAUUUGUUACUCUUCUUCACGAGACGACUGACGACCGAUAGAGACUGAUUUAGUAAUAAUUUAACACAGUUUAACUGUGUAUGUUGUAAUCUUUGUUAAAUAAAAAAAAAUAUAAAAAC